UACAUAGGGUGCAAGCGUUGUCCGGAUUUACUGGGCGUAAAGAGCGUGUAGGCGGAAAUUUAAGUCAAACUUGAAAUACUAGAGCUUAACUCUAGUCUGGGUUUGAUACUGAUUUUCUAGAGAUUGGGAGAGGAAAGUGGAACUCACAGUGUAGCGGUGAAAUGCGUAGAUAUUGUGAGGAACACCCGUGGCGAAGGCGGCUUUCUGGUCCAAUUCUGACGCUGAGACGCGAAAGCGUGGGGAUC
rnacentral:rRNA from 1 species